GGCCUCUUAGUUAAGCGGAUAUAACAAUCCCCUCCUAAGGGAUAGUCACAGGUUCGAUUCCUGUAGGGGCUA
rnacentral:tRNA from 1 species